rfam:Aerococcus christensenii strain CCTG28831, complete genome.
GGUCCGAUAGCUCAGUUGGUAGAGCACUUGAUUGAAGCUCAAGGUGUCGGCAGUUCGAUUCUGUCUCGGACCA